UCAACCUGAGCUAUUGUUGCAAUUUGCUAUUUAGUACAAUUAUUUUAACGCUAUUUUCUCGUUUUGUUUGUUAUUGUUAUUGUGUUGCGGUAACGGCAGCUAUGAAAAGUUAAUUUCUUUUCAAAGUUAUUUACAGUAAACCUGUUCUCAGCAGAUUUCUACUUACUGCCUUAAAUGCAAUUGUAACCUGUUCACCUACUAAAGGGAAUUCACACAUUUCGAAAUACAUAAUCCCACACUUGCACUUAACUAAGUACCGCAGCUUGUAGCGACUUGUCUAGCUAACUCGUGCCGAAUUCCCUAGUAAGGCCUUAAUUCAAAUGAAGUGCGCUAAUCGGGAGUCAAUAAUUACACGCUGACAGGGAAUUCAUUUGAGAUCGACGACCAAAGCCGUCGACUGAAUUUCCAAGUGUGUAGUCGAAUGCUAAUUUAUAGCGGUUAUAAUUUUAAUUUGCAUACUUUAUAGUUAACUCGUUAAAUUUUCGUUGGGUGUAGAAAACAAGGGCUACAUUUAACUAAAUUUACAUAAAGUGAGAUGUCGCUGGUGUUCGCGGGCCGACACUGGGAAAAGAGCGAUUCGUCUAAGACCGGCACUAUAUAAGCGGCUAGUGAUGAUUUACCGAAGCAGUUCAAGUUCAGCGUUUGCUAAGCAGAGUUUUCAGUUGCGAAAAAUUAAAACAAAAUCCAGUUAAAAAUGGCCAAGUGCAGUCUAAUGUUCUUCGUUUUG